UUGACUGUACAAAGGUAGCAUAAUCAUUAGUCUUUUAAUAGAGGGCUGGAAUGAAAGGUUUCACGAGGAAUUGACUGUCUCAUUUUAUUUGUUUUAAAAUCUAAUUUUUUAGUUAAAAAGCUAAAAUUUUAUUGGUAGACGAGAAGACCCUAUAGAGCUUUACAUAAAUCAUAAAUAAAUAUUUUUAUAUUAAUAUUUUUAUUUAUUUUUAUGUUUUGUUGGGGUGACAAGAAUAUAUAAUUAACUUUUUUAUUUAAAUUACAUUGAUUUAUGAAUAUUAGAUCCAUUUUUAUUGAUUAUUAGACUAAGUUACCUUAGGGAUAACAGCGUAAUAU
rnacentral:rRNA from 1 species